AGUCACUGACAUUAGACUACCCCCGUAGUCCAGGGUGUAAACGCUGCAGACUUAGUGUUGGAGCCCUUUGGGGGCAUUCAGUGCCGGAGAGAAGUUGUUAAGUCUGCUACUUGGGAGUACGUCCGCAAGGAUGAAACUUAAAGGAAUUGGCGGGGGAGCACCGCAACGGGAGGAGCGUGCGGUUUAAUUGGAUUCAACACCGUAAAACUCACCAGGGAAGACUGUUACAUGAAGGCCGAGAUGAAGACUCUGCUAGAUUUUCAG
rnacentral:rRNA from 1 species